GGGACGGUGGAAGAGCCUGGCAUUCACACACUCUCGACGAGAACACGCAGGUUCGAAUCCUGCCCGUCCCA
rnacentral:tRNA from 3 species